UAUUGGACAAUGGGCGCAAGCCUGAUCCAGCCAUGCCGCGUGUGUGAUGAAGGCCUUAGGGUUGUAAAGCACUUUCGCCGAUGAAGAUAAUGACUGUAGUCGGAGAAGAAGCCCCGGCUAACUUCGUGCCAGCAGCCGCGGUAAUACGAAGGGGGCUAGCGUUGUUCGGAAUUACUGGGCGUAAAGCGUACGUAGGCGGAUUGUUAAGUGAGGGGUGAAAUCCCGAGGCUCAACCUCGGAACUGCCUUUCAUACUGGCAAUCUUGAGUCCGGGAGAGGUGAGUGGAACUCCUAGUGUAGAGGUGAAAUUCGUAGAUAUUAGGAAGAACACCAGUGGCGAAGGCGGCUCACUGGCCCGGAACUGACGCUGAGGUACGAAAGCGUGGGGAGCAAACAGG
rnacentral:rRNA from 1 species